GUUAAUGAACUUGUAUAAGUUUAUAUUUUGAAAAUAUAAAAAAGAGGUUUAAUCCUCUAUUAACUUA
rnacentral:tRNA from 1 species